rnacentral:rRNA from 1 species
UACGUAGGGUGCAAGCGUUGUCCGGAAUUAUUGGGCGUAAAGAGCUUGUAGGCGGUUUGUCGCGUCUGCUGUGAAAUUUCGGGGCUCAACCCCGAACUUGCAGUGGGUACGGGCAGACUAGAGUGCAGUAGGGGAGACUGGAAUUCCUGGUGUAGCGGUGAAAUGCGCAGAUAUCAGGAGGAACACCGAUGGCGAAGGCAGGUCUCUGGGCUGUAACUGACGCUGAGGAGCGAAAGCAUGGGGAGCGAACAGG